rnacentral:lncRNA from 1 species
CUCAAUUACCUCACUUAUUUCCAUUUUAAUAUAUAGUACUGGUAUUUUUAUAUGCUAUCAAUCGCUUUGUAAUAAAACAGAAAUAAUUUUUAAAAGUAUCACAUUUAAGAUGUAUUACAAACCACUAACAGAGCAAUUGGGAAAGAUGGAAUAGAGCACUAGACUUGGGCUCAGGUUCUAGCACCACAAUUUUCCAAUUCAGGGCCAAAACUUUGGCCUCUCUCAAGAGACUAUUUUUCUCAUAUACUCUAAGAUCUUAAUGCUGAUUAAGUCAUGUUAUAUUUGGGAAAGUAUAUGGCAUAAACUAGAAAGAUAAUUACAUAUUAGUUGAAUCUAUAUCAGGUUUUCAUAGGUUAGGGAAAAUAUAUUGUGGUUUUUCUUCCUUUUUAAAUCUGUUAUUCCUGUGACCGAAUUGUUACAGUUUGGUGCAUUCACUAGGAAUGAGUCUAGGCAUUCUGGAUUUUGAGCAUUUGUGAAAAAUCUAAUGAAUGCCACAUCGGUGCUGUGCCCAGAGAGCUUCCUCUAGAGAAGGCUUAUCCCUUGAACUUCCAUGUUGCAUCAGUGCCAGUAGACAGAACCUAUGACAAGAGGAAGCCUUCUCCAAGCCUCCAAAGCAGCACCCUGAAACAUAUAUUCUUAUAGACUUUGUGCUAUAUAGUAUUGAUUUGUCAUGGUUUUCCUUCAAAAGCCAUUUUAUUCUUAACACAAUUAAACAACAGUGCAAUUGUGAGAAUAUAACUAUACUCCCUGUAUUUCUUGUUACAAAUGGGCCUUUCCCUGAGGUGGGUCUAGGCUCUUUUAUGGAGACCUGUCAUCUUCAUGUUGGCCUUUGUUCUGAGCCAGCUUUUUCUUCAGACUGGAACUUCCUUCAGUCUGUUUCAUAUCCAAGCCAAAAAACUCUGUACCCAUGAACUCUAUUAAUGAAGCUGUAUUAUACUGUGAUUGGAAACCUUUUUGGGAGUUCCCUUGUGGCUCAGCAGAAACUAAUCUGACUAGCAUCCUUCAGAAUGCAGGUUCACUCCUUGGCCCCGCUCAGUGGAUUAAGGAUCCGGCUUUGCUGUGAACUGUGGUGUAGAUCACAGAUGGGGCUCAGAUCCUCCGUUGGUGUGGCUAUGGCGUAGGCCUGCAGCUAUAGCUCCAAUUUGACCCUUAUUCUGGGAACCUCCACAUGCCAUGGGUGUGGCCCUAAAAAGACAAAAAAAAACAAAAAGAGAGAGAGAGAGAUAGAAUUGAAGCAUGCUCGUGUUGGGAGAUGGUGCCGUGCUAAUAAUACUUCCUACAAGUACUGUAUAUGUGAAUAAGGUAUUAUGUUGUGGAACUCAAAUGAAAACUCUGCGGAUUAUGUAAAAACUAUGUUAACAACAUCUUUAAGUUAUUUGUGAAAAGGACAUGGGUGAGAAAAUGAGGAGACCUAGAUCACAGCCCUUAUAUCACUGUUAUGACCUUCAUUUGGCAAGUCACCCUUUUAGAUCUGUUUGCUUGAAAAUGAAGUAACAUCUGGGAAAUUGCUAAGGCUUUUUCCAGUGUAAAUUUCUAUUACUCUUUUUAUUAAAAUUUGAGGUGAUAAAAACUUGGUCAUACUGUACAUAAAUGAUUGUUUUACUCAAGAGUUAUUAAUAGUGUAUAAUUUUACAUUGCAGACUUGUCUUCUAAAAAUAGACAAAAGUAUAAUUGUAUUUUUCCCUAAGUGUUUAUUGCUUUAUAUGCUGUAUUUCUUGAUCAGACUUCUUCAUUUUGAGAAGGAAAAUAUUUUUCUAAGGAGAAUCUCUUAUCCUUUUUAUUUCCUACUAGCUCUUCCCCACCCCCACCACCCAAAGAUAACCUCCUCCUGCAUCCAUACUUGAAAAGUAAGUCUCGGAGUUCCCAUCAUGGCUCAGUGGUUAACGAAUCUGACUAGGAACCAUGAGGUUGCGGGUUCAAUCCCUGGCCUUGCUCAGUGGGUUAGGGAUCUGGUGUUGCAGUGAGCUGUGGAGUAGGUCACGGACGUGGCUCGGAUCCCUGGGUUGCUGUGGCUGUGGUGUAGGCCGAUGGCUACAGCUCCAAUUUGGCCCGUAGCCUGUGAACCUCCAUAUGCCGCGGGAGCGGCCCAAGAAAUGGCAAAAAGACAAAAAGACAAAAAAAAAAAAACCAAUGCUUGGCAACUGUGUUGUAAAAAUAUAAUUCAGAGGGAGUAAAUUCAUGCAAAACUGUCACAAAUAGUAUGAUUUAUAGCAUAGCACAGUCAAAAGGGAAAUGUCAUUUCUUCACUUUCAUACACACAUGCGUGCAUACACACACGCGGACACACACACACACACACACACACACACUUGCUUUCCACUAUUUUUGCCUCUGUUCUCCUUAAAAAAAACAUUUACAGGAGUUCCCAUCAUGAUUCAGUGGUUAAUGAAUCUGACUAGCAUCCAUGAGUACAAAGGUUCAAUCCCUGGCCUUGCUCAGUGGGUUAAGGAUCUGAUGUUGCCAUGAGCUGUGGUGUGGGUUGUAGACAUGGCUUGGAUCCUGCAUUGCUGUGGCUGUGGCUGGCAGCUACAGCUUCGAUUUAACCCCUAGCCUGUGGACCUCCAUAUGCCACCAGUGCAGCCCUAAAAAGACCAAAAAAAAAAAAAAAAAAAAA